rnacentral:lncRNA from 1 species
CCUGUUAUCUAAUAAUCUCUGGAUGGUCAGAUACUCCAUGAUAUCUUGCAGGGUCUCUAACCAUCCCUACUGAAGAGAAUAGCAAAUUAGAGAAACUAGCUUCCAUCUCCAACUGUGGACACAGUGGCCAACGUUUAUUCAGUUUAUUUAAUUCACUGGUGCUAAGUAUAGGCUUAAGUAUGGCUUAAGUUUACUCUCAUGUAAACCGAGUUCUGGCCCUGCGUUGUGUGUGUCUGAAAAAAUCUGAAUUAUAACAUUUUAGGGAAAAUAAGAUUAUAACUUUGAGGAGUCAGCAUCUAGUUGAGGAAAUAAUUCAUACAAAAUCAAAGCUAAAGUCAGAUGAUAAAAGACAGGUAAGAGGCUACAUAUACACACAUGUACACAAAUGGAUACUCUAUAAAUGUUACUUGAAGCAUAUCUCUCAACUACUCACAACCCUUCAAUGAUGGCUUAACUUAUAUUCCAGCUAGUUGGCACAGACUCUAAUUCUUUUUUAAGAAAAAUUAAUACACACACAACCACAUUUUGUAACAUUGUUUCCACAAUGUGAGCAGUUUUUUCAUAGUGUUAAUCCCCUUUUCCCAAGGAAAAAUUAAAGCAAACAAGUUAGAAAUAAAACAAACAAAUCCUCUCUGUUUCUAAAGUUCAUUGCAGCUCUUGGGAA